ensembl:lncRNA
GUUUACUCGCACAUGGAUACAAAAUUCAUCUACUCUGGCUCUGUCCGCUGGGGAUCCGGCAAUCACACAUAUACAUCACCCUCAGUGAAAGGUCAGGGCCUGUGUGUUGAGAACGGCAGGCCUCCUUCGGGUUCUCAGACUCUGAGGAAAUGAAGUGUGGCAAAAUGUGACUCCGUCUGUUUGUUUUUUCAUAAUGAGAGGUUCCUCGUGGACAUGAUGGGAAUAAGCUCACAUUCAUCCGUAUGAAGACUCUGUGACUCGGAUGCUGCGGGGGAGCCUUAACUAAUGAAAGUGAUACCAUGCAGACAUUUGCAGCAUAGCAUCGCCGCUGAGAAACUGAAAUAAACAACUCUCUCUGAAACCCUGUUAAUAAAAUAUCUGAUCAGUAGCCAUCCCUUUAGAGUUCAGGGAAUUAUUUCAUUUAUUAAAAAUGUUUUUUUUUUUUUAAUUAACUGAGGUAUUAAAACCCAUAGGCUUACAAUGUUUGAGCUUUCAAGCUUAGAAGACCAAGUGUGCUCUCUCUUGCUGAGUGGGACUAUUAGAGAGAGGUGGUGGGACCGGAGUUGUUGAUGGGGGGGAGGCACCCACUGAUGAAGAAAUCAACUCGAGGAGAGAACCCCAUCGACUCAAGCUGCCCCUCUGUCAUCCGACAGAUGGUCCAGUCCAAUCUGCUCAUGAGUACAUGAGUUGGGGGGGGGGGCUUGGUUAGAUGCCUGCUUACAAAUAUGUUUCAUGUGUACAGGGGAAAUCUGGCAUCUCUAAGACAGCCAGGAGACGACUGUACCUGACAGCAGGAUUGCCAUGGCAACAAGGCCAGCGAACCCUCCCUCUGGUGAUCACUUUUAGUUAUGAACUUGUUUAACCAGCUAUUAACGAGGCACAGUUGGUCUCGCUCCAAAAGGUGAUGGCAGACACGGAGAUCAUCAAGGAGACUAUUGAUGAUGAAAGCCUAUAGGAAUCAAACACAGAAUUAGCUAAUCAAAUAACCCACUCCAAUAUUGAUACAUCUCCUUGUCAGCUAUAUAACUAUCACUUCAUGCCAAGCGAACGUUAAAUGUAUGUUUUUUUUUUUUUUUGGUGAGGAGACUGUACAGCUCAAUGUGCCAUCAGCACGGUCUCCCCCCGGGAGCGGGCAGCAUGGUGAAAUGAACAUGCCAGUCACCACGGACCAUAUCUGCGAUGGCAGCGCCGGCUCGCUCCCCCGCUCCCCCGCUCGCUCGAGCCCCAGACGCCAGGCAGGAGGAAGACAGUGGGUGGAAGUCUCCUGGCUGCCGUGCGCAAUGCUGAGCCUGCUUCUCCAGCCCCUUGCUUAAUUACAUUGUGCAGUGUGACGUGAAAGGGUGUCAGAUGCUCAGAGAGGCAGAUCUGUCCUAAUGAAUGAAAACAGAUGGAAGACAGGGGGCGAGAGCGGAGAGGCUGCCAGGAGAUCUGGAGAGGCGUGGAGAUUGAGGAGGGAGGCCGGAGGGAUGGAAAGCACAGAGAGAGAAAGGAAAGAAAGAGAUAGAGAGAGAGAGAGAGAGAGAGAGAGAGAGAGAGAGAGAGAGAGAGAGAGAGAGAGAGAGAUAGAGAGAGAGAGACAGAGACAAGAGAAAGAGGGAGGUGUGUGGCUGAUGAAUGUCCUAACACAAUUAGAAUGUGUGACAAGCUGAAGCCCUCUGCUUAUCCUCUCACUUAGGAAGACCUCACGUGUGUG